AGCGAACGCUGGCGGCAGGCCUAACACAUGCAAGUCGAGCGCCCAGCAAUGGGAGCGGCAGACGGGAGAGUAACACGUGGGAACGUACCUUUCAGUUCGGAACAACCAAGGGAAACUUUGGCUAAUACCUGAUACGCCCGUAAGGGGAAAGAUUUAUCGCUGAAAGAUCGGCCCGCGUCUGAUUAGCUUGUUGGUGAGGUAACGGCUCACCAAGGCGACGAUCAGUAGCUGGUAUGAGAGGAUGACCAGCCUAACUGGGACUGAGACACGGCCCAGACUCCUACGGGAGGCAGCAGUGGGGAAUAUUGGACAAUGGGCGCAAGCCUGAUCCAGCCAUGCCGCGUGGAUGAUGAAGGCCUUAGGGUUGUAAAGUCCUUUUAACGGGGAAGAUAAUGACGGUACCCGUAGAAUAAGCCCCGGCUAACUUCGUGCCAGCAGCCGCAGUAACAC
rnacentral:rRNA from 1 species